rnacentral:rRNA from 1 species
GGACCAAGGAGUCUAGCAUGUGCGCGAGUCAUUGGGAUUUUUACUAAACCUAAAGGCGCAAUGAAAGUGAAGGUCCGCCUUGCGCGGGCCGAGGGAGGAUGGACCGUUCCGAGGGACGGCCUCGCACUCCCGGGGCGUCUCGCUCUCAUCGCGAGAAGAGGCGCACCCAGAGCGUACACGCUGGGACCCGAAAGAUGGUGAACUAUGCCUGGUCAGGACGAAGUCAGGGGAAACCCUGAUGGAGGUCCGUAGCGAUUCUGACGUGCAAAUCGAUCGUCGGAACUGGGUAUAGGGGCGAAAGACUAAUCGAACCAUCUAGUAGCUGGUUCCCUCCGAAGUUUCCCUCAGGAUAGCUGGCGCUCGCUUCUCGCGAGUCUCAUUCGGUAAAGCGAAUGAUUAGAGGCAUUGGGGUCGAAACGGCCUCAACCUAUUCUCAAACUUUAAAUGGGUGAGAUCUCCGGCUUGCUUGAACUGUGAAGCCGCGAGAUAUCGGAUCAGAGUGCCAAGUGGGCCACUUUUGGUAAGCAGAACUGGCGCUGUGGGAUGAACCAAACGCUGAGUUAAAGCGCCUAAAUCGACGCUUAUGGGAUACCAUGAAAGGCGUUGGUAACUUAAGACAGCAGGACGGUGGCCAUGGAAGUCGGA